rnacentral:tRNA from 1 species
UCCUUCAGCGAGUACCAAGUUCCAGUAUCCCAAUUGGCAGAGGAUGCAAGCUCAAACCUUGUAUUAGUGACGGUU